UACAGAGGGGGCAAGCGUUGUUCGGAAUUACUGGGCGUAAAGGGCGCGUAGGCGGCCUUCUAAGUCGAACGUGGAAUCCCCGGGCUCAACCCGGGAACUGCGUCCGAUACUGGAAGGCUUGAAUCCGGGAGAGGGAUGCGGAAUUCCUGGUGUAGCGGUGAAAUGCGCAGGUAUCAGGAGGAACACCGAUGGCGAAGGCAGCUCGCUGGGACGGUACUGACGCUGAGGCGCGAAAGCGUGGGGAGCAAACAGG
rnacentral:rRNA from 1 species